UGGCGCUUCCAUGCAAGUCGUAACAAUAAUAGCAUCUUCGGACGCUGACGAGUGGCGAACGGGUGAGUAAUACAUCGGAACGUGCCCAGUCGUGGGGGAUAACUACUCGAAAGAGUAGCUAAUACCGCAUACGAUCUGAGGAUGAAAGCGGGGGACCUUCGGGCCUCGCGCGAUUGGAGCGGCCGAUGGCAGAUUAGGUAGUUGGUGGGAUAAAAGCUUACCAAGCCGACGAUCUGUAGCUGGUCUGAGAGGACGACCAGCCACACUGGGACUGAGACACGGCCCAGACUCCUACGGGAGGCAGCAGUGGGGAAUUUUGGACAAUGGGCGAAAGCCUGAUCCAGCAAUGCCGCGUGCAGGAUGAAGGCCUUCGGGUUGUAAACUGCUUUUGUACGGAACGAAAAAGCUCCUUCUAAUACAGGGGGCCCAUGACGGUACCGUAAGAAUAAGCACCGGCUAACUACGUGCCAGCAGCCGCGGUAAUACGUAGGGUGCGAGCGUUAAUCGGAAUUACUGGGCGUAAAGCGUGCGCAGGCGGUUAUGUAAGACAGAUGUGAAAUCCCCGGGCUCAACCUGGGAACUGCAUUUGUGACUGCAUGGCUAGAGUACGGUAGAGGGGGAUGGAAUUCCGCGUGUAGCAGUGAAAUGCGUAGAUAUGCGGAGGAACACCGAUGGCGAAGGCAAUCCCCUGGACCUGUACUGACGCUCAUGCACGAAAGCGUGCGGAGCAAACAGGAUUAGAUACCCUGGUAGUCCACGCCCUAAACGAUGUCAACUGGUUGUUGGGAAUUAGUUUUCUCAGUAACGAAGCUAACGCGUGAAGUUGACCGCCUGGGGAGUACGGCCGCAAGGUUGAAACUCAAGGAAUUGACGGGGACCCGCACAAGCGGUGGAUGAUGUGGUUUAAUUCGAUGCAACGCGAAAAACCUUACCCACCUUUGACAUGGCAGGAAGUUUCCAGAGAUGGAUUCGUGCUCGAAAGAGAACCUGCACACAGGUGCUGCAUGGCUGUCGUCAGCUCGUGUCGUGAGAAU
rnacentral:rRNA from 1 species